rnacentral:lncRNA from 1 species
CCCGGGAGCCUUGGCAUUCUGUGAGCCUGCCAACAAAACAAACGCAGUCAGAGACAGAAAGCAUAUUUCUUAAAAGUCAACUUGAUCCACCUCCUGGAGGGGAGGCUACAUGUCCAUGUGCCAGUCACAUUAGAGUAGUCAGUUUCCUGCCAGGAGUAGCUGGAAAAUAAAACCCACAUGGGCUUUGAGAGGGCACCCUACCUGCUGACACAAUGAAGGAAAGAAUCCAAAUCAUGGAUGAAGUUGACGUCAAUAGCAAACUCCCACGAAUGUCCUCAGAUAUGCACAGUUAUUAGUUCCCAAGUGAUAGCUCUACUCCACCUAUUCAAGAGAGCACUCACAAUGACUUGAGUCAAGGAAUUACUGGAUCCUUAUGACUAACAGACAAUAGUAUUUGGUGGUCAACUAAAUCCACUUAGUAGUUACCCCUCACAGAGGCAUAUUGGCCUUACAGUUGUUCCUUCAAAUCAAUGGAGACUCCCCCUUUGUCUUCAGCUAUGACUGAAAGUUUCCUGAAGCCUCCUCAGAAGCCAAACAAAUGCCAACAUCAUGCUUCCUGUACAGUCUGCAGAACCAUGAGCCAAUUAAAU